GCGCUCGUAGCUCAGCCCGGAUAGAGCACAACCCUCCGAAGGUUGGGGUCGGACGUUCAAAUCGUCUCGAGCGCGCCA
rnacentral:tRNA from 1 species